rnacentral:pre_miRNA from 1 species
CCAGAUUUGGUCGACAGAAUUUCUCUUACAACACUCUAACUUUAUUUAUAGAGUAAGUGCGUUUUGUUGGGGUAGUUUUGCUGA